rnacentral:rRNA from 1 species
GAUGAACGCUAGCGGCAGGCUUAAUACAUGCAAGUCGAGGGGUAACAUGGUAGCAAUACUGAUGACGACCGGCAAACGGGUGCGGAACACGUACAGAACCUUCCUUUAAGCGGGGGAUAGCCCAUAGAAAUGUGGAUUAAUACCCCAUAGUAAUAUUGAUUGGCAUCAAUUGAUAUUUAAAGAUUUAUCACUUAAAGAUGGCUGUGCGGCUGAUUAGGUAGUUGGUGCGGGUAACGGCCCACCAAGCCAUCGAUCAGUAACUGGUGUGAGAGCACGACCAGUCACACGGGCACUGAGACACGGGCCCGACUCCUACGGGAGGCAGCAGUAAGGAAUAUUGGUCAAUGGACGCAAGUCUGAACCAGCCAUGCCGCGUGGAGG